rnacentral:rRNA from 1 species
UACGUAGGUGGCAAGCGUUGUCCGGAAUUAUUGGGCGUAAAGCGCGCGCAGGCGGUCUUUUAAGUCUGAUGUGAAAGCCCCCGGCUCAACCGGGGAGUGUCAUUGGAAACUGGGAGACUUGAGUGCAGAAGAGGAGAGUGGAAUUCCACGUGUAGCGGUGAAAUGCGUAGAUAUGUGGAGGAACACCAGUGGCGAAGGCGACUCUCUGGUCUGUAACUGACGCUGAGGCGCGAAAGCGUGGGGAGCAAACAGG